UUGGAGGGCAAGUCUGGUGCCAGCAGCCGCGGUAAUUCCAGCUCCAAUAGCGUAUAUUAAAGUUGUUGUGGUUAAAAAGCUCGUAGUUGAACCUUGGGCCUGGCUGGCCGGUCCGCCUCACCGCGUGUACUGGUCCGGCCGGGCCUUUCCCUCUGUGGAACCCCCAUGCCCUUCACUGGGUGUGGCGGGGAAACAGGACUUUACNGUGAAAAAAUUAGAGUGCUCCAGGCAGGCCUAUGCUCGAAUACAUUAGCAUGGAAUAAUAGAAUAGGA
rnacentral:rRNA from 1 species